rnacentral:rRNA from 1 species
CUAAACCUCCUUGUCAAAGCCUCAGAACCUAAGCAGAGCUGGCCCUGGUCAGUAGUUGAAUGGGAAACCGCUGGAAAUUCCAGGUG